rnacentral:rRNA from 1 species
UACGUAGGGGGCAAGCGUUGUCCGGAUUUAUUGGGCGUAAAGAGCGUGUAGGCGGUUUGGUAGGUCCGUUGUGAAAACUCGAGGCUCAACCUCGAGACGCCGAUGGAAACCAUCAGACUAGAGUCCGGAAGAGGAGAGUGGAAUUCCUGGUGUAGCGGUGAAAUGCGCAGAUAUCAGGAAGAACACCCGUGGCUAAGGCGGCUCUCUAGUACGGUACUGACGCUGAGACGCGAAAGCAUGGGGAGCGAACAGG